UUCUAAACUUCCUAGGCAGGCUCUCAAGACCAGCUCUGCGUUAGCAAGUGGGCACUCAGGCUCAUGGAAAUGACACUUGGCCUUGAGACCAUCACAAGAGUAAUGGCUGCCAGAACCAGUGCUUAACCUUUGGAAGGAUGCUAAAAAUGCCUCUUCUAGAAGAUGAUACUAAAAUAAAAGCCUACUAUUAGCUUGAA